CAGCCGCCGCGGUAACACGUAGGUGGCAAGCGUUGUCCGGAAUUAUUGGGCGUAAAGGGCACGCAGGCGGUUUCUUAAGUCUGAUGUGAAAGCCCCCGGCUCAACCGGGGAGGGUCAUUGGAAACUGGGAAACUUGAGUGCAGAAGAGGAGAGUGGAAUUCCACGUGUAGCGGUGAAAUGCGUAGAGAUGUGGAGGAACACCAGUGGCGAAGGCGACUCUCUGGUCUGUAACUAACGCUGAGGAGCGAAAGCGUGGGGAGCGAACAGGAUUAGAUACCCCUGUAGUCCCUGUCUCUUAUAC
rnacentral:rRNA from 1 species